GCUUUUGUACACACCGCCCGUCGCUACUACCGAUUGAAUGAUUUAGUGAGGUCUUCGGACUGGUACGCGGCAUCGACUCUGUCGUUGCCGAUGCUACCGGAAAGAUGACCAAACUUGAUAAUUUAGGGGAAGUAAAAGUCGUAACAAUGUUUCCGUAGGUGAACCUGCGGAAGGAUCAUUA
rnacentral:rRNA from 1 species